rnacentral:rRNA from 1 species
AGUGGCAGACGGGUGAGUAAUGUAUAGGAAUCUACCUAGUAGUACGGAAUAAUUGUUGGAAACGGCAACUAAUACCGUAUACGCCCUACGGGGGAAAAAUUUAUUGCUAUUAGAUGAGCCUAUAUUAGAUUAGUUAGUUGGUGAGGUAAAGGCUUACCAAGACAAUGAUCUAUAGCUGAUCUGAGAGGAUGAUCAGCCACACUGGAACUGAGAUACGGUCCAGACUCCUACGGGAGGCAGCAGUGGGGAAUAUUGGACAAUGGGCGAAAGCCUGAUCCAGCCAUGCCGCAUGAGUGAAGAAGGCCUUCGGGUUGUAAAGCUCUUUUAGUGAGGAAGAUAAUGACGGUACUCACAGAAGAAGUCCUGGCUAACUCCGUGCCAGCAGCCGCGGUAAUACGGAGAGGGCUAGCGUUAUUCGGAAUCAUUGGGCGUAAAGGGCGCGUANGCGGGUUAGUAAGUUAAAAGUGAAAUCCCAAGGCUCAACCUUGGAACUGCUUUUAAAACUGCUAGUCUAGAGAUUGAAAGANGAUAGAGGAAUUCCUAGUGUAGAGAUGAAAUUCGUAAAUAUUAGGAGGAACACCAGUGGCGAA